AAAGUAAUCGCCACUUCCAGCUUCAUCACUACCAAUACAGUUAAAUUGAUCAUACAUUAAAGUUUGUUCAAGAAAAGAAUUAGCCAUAUUUUU
rnacentral:sRNA from 1 species